rnacentral:misc_RNA from 1 species
UGGAUGAAAGUUUUAGAUCAUCUUAAAAAGAAAAUCCAAUCAGUAAAUACUGUUUUAUUUUUACCAUAGUGUUUAUCAUUCAGAACUACCGUACUUGAUAACUAUACACAUUGCAAUCAGUUUGUGUACUGUGUGAAGCCACUACCAUUGGGUUUGUUUAUGCUUGUUGUUGAAGUGCCUUUUGUUUUAGAAAAAAAAAAUGUUUAUACUUGUGUUUUAAGGAAAGCUGUGUUUCUUAAAAAUUGACACAGCAACUAUUGUCAGUUCUAUGUGAUGUUAUAAGCUGUUGCUAUUUAUAGAUAUAAAUCAGAUAUACAAUUUUUUCAAAUAUUGAGCAUGUUUAACUUCUGUAAAAGUUGUGCUGUCUUGAGAACUCUGUUAGAUUUCAUGUAUAGUUUUAUUUAACAUAUGGAAUUCAUUUUUGCAUGAUGUGUAAGAUGUGUGCUGGAAGAAAUCCCACUCCAUUGAGGGAUUUGUUAUUAAUUUGUGCAUUAGUAUGAAUAUUUGUGCAGAUAAAUUUACUGUCAAUAAAAAAUAUAAUUCU